rnacentral:tRNA from 1 species
CCGACCUUAGCUCAUGUUAGAGCGGAGUAGUGUAGAUCCUUAGGUCGCUGGUUCGAUUCCGGCAGGUCGGA